GGGGCUGUAGCUCAAUGGUAGAGCCUCUGUUUAGCACACAGCAGGUCCCAGGUUCAAUCCCUGGCAUCUCCA